CCUACGGGAGGCUGCAGUGGGGAAUAUUGCUCAAUGGGGGAAACCCUGAUGCAGCGACGCCGCGUGAGUGAAGACGUAAUUCGUUAUGUAAAGCUCUAUCAGCAGGGAAGAAAAUGACGGUACCUGAGUAAGAAGCUCCGGCUAACUCCGUGCCAGCAGCCGCGGUAAUACGUAGGGGGCAAGCGUUAUCCGGAUUUACUGGGGGUAAAGGGGGCGUAGACGGCUGGGCAAGGCUGGAGUGAAAGGCGGGGGCUCAACCCCCGGACUGCCCUGGAAACUGUACGGCUGGAGUGCAGGAGAGGUAAGUGGAAUUCCUAGUGUAGCGGUGAAAUGCGUAGAUAUUAGGAGGAACACCAGUGGCGAAGGCGGCUUACUGGACUGUAACUGACGUUGAGGCUCGAAAGCGUGGGGAGCAAACAGGAUUAGAUACCCGGGUAGUC
rnacentral:rRNA from 1 species